rnacentral:rRNA from 1 species
GGAGAGAGGUAGCUUGCUACUGAUCUUAGCGGCGGACGGGUGAGUAAUGCUUAGGAAUCUGCCUAUUAGUGGGGGACAACAUUUCGAAAGGAAUGCUAAUACCGCAUACGUCCUACGGGAGAAAGCAGGGGAUCUUCGGACCUUGCGCUAAUAGAUGAGCCUAAGUCGGAUUAGCUAGUUGGUGGGGUAAAGGCCUACCAAGGCGACGAUCUGUAGCGGGUCUGAGAGGAUGAUCCGCCACACUGGGACUGAGACACGGCCCAGACUCCUACGGGAGGCAGCAGUGGGGAAUAUUGGACAAUGGGCGGAAGCCUGAUCCAGCCAUGCCGCGUGUGUGAAGAAGGCCUUAUGGUUGUAAAGCACUUUAAGCGAGGAGGAGGCUACUUUAGUUAAUACCUAGAGAUAGUGGACGUUACUCGCAGAAUAAGCACCGGCUAACUCUGUGCCAGCAGCCGCGGUAAUACAGAGGGUGCAAGCGUUAAUCGGAUUUACUGGGCGUAAAGCGCGCGUAGGCGGCUAAUUAAGUCAAAUGUGAAAUCCCCGAGCUUAACUUGGGAAUUGCAUUCGAUACUGGUUAGCUAGAGUGUGGGAGAGGAUGGUAGAAUUCCAGGUGUAGCGGUGAAAUGCGUAGAGAUCUGGAGGAAUACCGAUGGCGAAGGCAGCCAUCUGGCCUAACACUGACGCUGAGGUGCGAAAGCAUGGGGAGCAAACAGGAUUAGAUACCCUGGUAGUCCAUGCCGUAAACGAUGUCUACUAGCCGUUGGGGCCUUUGAGGCUUUAGUGGCGCAGCUAACGCGAUAAGUAGACCGCCUGGGGAGUACGGUCGCAAGACUAAAACUCAAAUGAAUUGACGGGGGCCCGCACAAGCGGUGGAGCAUGUGGUUUAAUUCGAUGCAACGCGAAGAACCUUACCUGGCCUUGACAUAGUAAGAACUUUCCAGAGAUGGAUUGGUGCCUUCGGGAACUUACAUACAGGUGCUGCAUGGCUGUCGUCAGCUCGUGUCGUGAGAUGUUGGGUUAAGUCCCGCAACGAGCGCACCCUUUUCG